rnacentral:lncRNA from 1 species
CCGCCGUGGUCCAGCCUUCUAUCCCCGUGCACGGUUCAACGAUACUCUCGUCAUUGGAUAUGCUAUUGCGGGUAAGCCUGAGAUUGCACUCCAACUAUUUGGUAAAAUGCGGUUUAAUGGCUUGGACUUGGAUACCUUUGGUUACCAUGUGCUUUUGAAUGCCCUUGUUGAAGAGAGUUAUUUCGAUGCUGUUAAUGACAUUAUUAGGCAGAUUAGGAUGAGAGGUUUUGAGAAUCGGUAUACCAAUGUGCUUAUUACGAAGAGUUUGUGCAAGCAGGGGAAGUUGGAUGAAGCUGAAGUGUUCUUGUUUGGCUUGGUGGAUGGUGGCAGCUCCGGGGUGCGUUGGUCGCGUUCUCUUUCGGCUAGCCGGCGUUCUAAGUCUUGCAUCCUAUGGCGCAACUCUUGCAUUAUCCUGGCGUGGUUGUCGCCAGUUCCUCCGAAGGGGCGUCUUUCGUGAGUCUGCGUCGUGUCCCUCGGAGGCGACCUCUGCUGUUGUCGGGUUUCUGUCGAAACGGCGCCUCCCCCAAGCACGGGAGGCGCGGCCUCGCUGCCGGUCCCAGUCUGGACUAGUACGAAGUCCAUGGACGAGUCCCCACAGACGGCGCCAAUGUUCGGUAGGUCGGUUACCGGACGAUUCAGGUCAGGAUCAGGGGUGAAGGAAGGGGCUCGUCUGAUCACGGUCUUCCAGUCCGGGAGCGUGAGGUCCCGAGCACUUUGUGUGAGGGGGGUGUCACCUGCAAAGACACUCCGACGUUCUUGUCAGAAUACGUGCAGGUGGAGUAAGUGUAGUGCAGAGAUGUGACGUACCUCGGGAGAAGAGCCAGUCUUCCCCUUAUAUACAUGUCAGUAUUGGGCCCCUCUGGAGGGCAGGCCCAUAUUCCCAAGGACGCGGUCCCAUAGCUGUGAGAGAGCCGUACGGGACGCGUGUCCGGGUCGGUUGAGAGGCGUGUAGUCGGGCCGGGUGGAGCUCGGGUCGGGUUGACCUGCGGGAGUCCAGGGCCGUAACAUAAAGUAUACCAAUGUACCUGUAAUUCUGUAAAGUAAAUUGGUACAGUUGAAAUUCUUCCUUCAAGAUUUCUUUCGAUCUAAUCUAUCUGAAGUUGGUUAUCUUAUUGGAAAACUUUCACAUGUACCAAUUAUUUUUUUGGUACAGCAAUAUAGCAAGUACGGUCUGAUUAGCAGUCAACUUUUUGUCAUAUAGUGAUGGAUAGAAAACCUAAAAUGUCCUUAGUUGUACAGUAAAAUUAUGGAAAUGACAGACUGGCUUUGUGCUUCAUGGUUGUAGCUAGUAAGAAGCUAACGUGAGAAAGUUUGGCUCCAACGGCUGAAAGCUGGUGGGCUCUUUGUCUACCAACUCAAGAGACAUUAUAAAUGGGCUUGGAUUACUAAAUAAUAAUGAAACUGUUGUAAAUUUUGUAUUUUAUUAAUGAAAAUAGUAUAUUUGACAUAGUUAGAAAAAAUGGUGAUGGACCGGUUUAAAGAACUCGGAUCCGGUAGUAAUAUUUUUUUUUGUUUUGUUAAAAUUUUAAGCCGUGCCAUUUUCAGGUAAAACAACCCCGCUCAUAUAAAUUUUUUGUUUUGGUCAAUUUUUAGCCCUAUAUAAUUUUUUUAAUAGAACUUUUUUUUUACUCUAUAUAUUUUUUAUUAUAUUUUUAAAUUAGUAUAUAUUUUAUUUAUUAUCAUUAAUUUAAAAAUGGUGAUGGACCGGUUUAAAGAACUCGGACCCGGUAGUAAUAUUUUUUUUGUUUUGUUAAAAAUUUUAAGCCGUGUCAUUUUCAGGUAAACAACCCCCCAACCAGCUCAUAUAAAUUUUUUGUUUUGGUCAAUUUAUGUUUACAAUUAUACUUAUUAUGUCAUUGUUAGUUAUUUAAAAUUUGAUGUUAAAACUUGUUAUAUAUAUUUUAUUUUUGUACUUUACAAAACCGCAAAUUCAAUCACAUUCAAAUCGCUUGAAAUUAGAUCGAAUCGGAUACUUUUUUUUUUAAAAGCUCAUCCAAUCCAAUCCACACCGCAAAUAAAAUCAGUAUUUAAAUCGGAUAAAUUUUUUACUUAAAACCAAUCUAAAAUCGAUUCAAACUACACUGCAAACACCCUAUAUUAUGUUAGUACAUGAAUAAGGGUUAGUUCUAUUUAUUGUCUGUGGAUUGAAUUUUUCAGACCAAACUAUGAACCUAAUAAUAAAUAAAAAACGAUGCAAAAUUUAACAAUUAUGACUUUACGGUUUUUAACCCAAUAGUAUAAUACUGGCCAAAAAUUAUACAAAAAUAAUACACCCAACAACAAUCUAUUACUCUCAAACUAAUGUAAGCAACAACUAUGCGCCAAAAAGGUCCAUUGGCCACACAAAAAGGAAACUACCCAAAUCAAAACAUAAAGUAAGUCGUCUAAGGAAGUAGCCACUAAACAGAAAUUACAUAAAAAAAAAUGUCAUUCAUUCAUAUUUUAAAACUAAUAUUUUAACGGUGCAGAUUUAUUAUAUACCAGUGUAUCAGUAAAGUAUACUGGCACAGGUGAAAUUCUUCCUAUCUUAUUUGGGCUAAAUAGUCUAGUUGAGGUCUGAUUAAAAAAUAAAAAUAAAAAUAGAACGGUCCGUAAAGUUAUUAAGACAGGGAUGAUAUAAUGUUCAGAUUUCAGAACUUAAUAUGUAAAUCAAAAUAAAAGAUGAGGUGCUAGGUUAGGUUUAUGUAAAAUUGAAGAAAGAGCGUUGAAAUGGGUUUGAGGAAGGAAGAGGAAUGAAAAUGAGAAUGGCAUCGGAGAGAGAUAGGGAACAUCCAUAAUGCUACAGCCACUAAAACAUGUAACCAAAUGCAGAUCCCUCUUCUCUUCUUUUCUCAUUCACAUCAACAACCCUUCUUCCUUUUCUUCUUCUUCUCAUAACUGCCACACCGUCUUAAGAUCCUCCAUCAAGGACUGGUUCAACACCCGCGACCCACUCAUCACCCGAAUCUUUCAGAUUCUUUCUUCGACGGACUCUAGCUCUGACGCCGCCCUCGACGCCUCUCUCGCCGCCCUAACACUCCCCCGUCUCGACGAGUCCUUCGUCCUCACCGUACUCCACCAUGGCACCGCCGCUGCCCACGUCUACCCCUGCCUCCGCUUCUUCGAUUGGGCCGGUCGCCAGUCCGGCUUCCACCACACUCGCGGCACCUUCUCCGCCAUCUUCCGAAUCCUUGCACGCAACAGAUCAAUGUCAACCAUCAUCGAGUUCCUCCAAUCCUUCCGCCGCCGUGGUCCAGCCUUCUAUCCCCGUGCACGGUUCAACGAUACUCUCGUCAUUGGAUAUGCUAUUGCGGGUAAGCCUGAGAUUGCACUCCAACUAUUUGGUAAAAUGCGGUUUAAUGGCUUGGACUUGGAUACCUUUGGUUACCAUGUGCUUUUGAAUGCCCUUGUUGAAGAGAGUUAUUUCGAUGCUGUUAAUGACAUUAUUAGGCAGAUUAGGAUGAGAGGUUUUGAGAAUCGGUAUACCAAUGUGCUUAUUACGAAGAGUUUGUGCAAGC